ACGCCCGUGGCGCAACGGAUAGCGCGUUUGAUUCCGGUUCAAAAGGCUGCAGGUUCGAUCCCUGUCGGGCGUGCCA
rnacentral:tRNA from 1 species